rnacentral:rRNA from 1 species
AUUGAACGCUGGCGGCAGGCUUAACACAUGCAAGUCGAGCGGGGACUUCGGUCCUAGCGGCGAACGGGUGAGGAAUGCUUGGGAAUCUGCCCAGUAGCGGGGGAUAACGUUUCGAAAGGAACGCUAAUACCGCAUACGCCUACGGGGGAAAGGGGGGGAUCUUCGGACCUCUCACUAUUGGAUGCGCCCAAGUCGGAUUAGCUAGUUGGUGGGGUAAAGGCCUACCAAGGCGACGAUCCGUAGCUGGUCUGAGAGGAUGAUCAGCCACACUGGAAAUGGUAGACGGUCCAGACUCGUGCGGGGGGCAGCAUUGGGGAAUAUUGGACAAUGGGCGAAAGCCUGAUCCAGCCAUGCCGCGUGUGUGAAGAAGGGCUUCGGGUUGUAAAGCACUUUAAGCGAGGAGGAAUGGCUCUGGGUUAAUACCCUUGAGCAGUGACGUUACUCGCAGAAUAAGCACCGGCUAACUCUGUGCCAGCAGCCGCCGCAGUAA